UUUGACCUCGGAUCAGGUNNNNNNNNNNNNNNNNNNNNNNNNNNNNNNAAGCGGAGGAAAAGAAACCAACAGGGAUUGCCCUAGUAACGGCGAGUGAAGCGGCAACAGCUCAAAUUUGAAAUCUGGCUCUUUUAGAGUCCGAGUUGUAAUUUGCAGAGGGCGCUUUGGCUUUGGCAGCGGUCCAAGUUCCUUGGAACAGGACGUCACAGAGGGUGAGAAUCCCGUACGUGGUCGCUGGCUAUUGCCGUGUAAAGCCCCUUCGACGAGUCGAGUUGUUUGGGAAUGCAGCUCUAAAUGGGAGGUACAUUUCUUCUAAAGCUAAAUAUUGGCCAGAGACCGAUAGCGCACAAGUAGAGUGAUCGAAAGAUGAAAAGCACUUUGGAAAGAGAGUCAAACAGCACGUGAAAUUGUUGAAAGGGAAGCGCUUGCAGCCAGACUUGCUUACAGUUGCUCAUCCGGGUUUCUACCCGGUGCACUCUUCUGUAGGCAGGCCAGCAUCAGUUUGGGCGGUAGGAUAAAGGUCUCUGUCACGUACCUCCUUUCGGGGAGGCCUUAUAGGGGAGACGACAUACUACCAGCCUGGACUGAGGUCCGCGCAUCUGCUAGGAUGCUGGCGUAAUGGCUGUAAGCGGCCCGUCUUGAAACACGGACCAAGGAGUCUAACAUCUAUGCGAGUGUUUGGGUGUCAAGCCCGAGCGCGUAAUGAAAGUGAACGGAGGUGGGAACCCGCAAGGGUGCACCAUCGACCGAUCCUGAUGUCUUCGGAAGGAUUUGAGUAAGAGCAUGGCUGUGGGGACCCGAAAGAUGGUGAACUAUGCUUGAAUAGGGUGAAGCCAGAGGAAACUCUGGUGGAGGCUCGCAGCGGUUCUGACGUGCAAAUCGAUCGUCAAAUUUGGGCAUAGGGGCGAAAGACUAAUCGAA
rnacentral:rRNA from 1 species